UCGGGAAUCUUGGACAAUGGGCGCAAGCCUGAUCCAGCCAUGCCGCGUGGAUGAUGAAGGCCUUAGGGUUGUAAAAUCCUUUCGUGGGGGACGAUAAUGACGGUACCCCAAGAAGAAGCUCCGGCUAACUUCGUGCCAGCAGCCGCGGUAAUACGAAGGGGGCUAGCGUUGUUCGGAUUUACUGGGCGUAAAGCGCGUGUAGGCGGGUCGUUAAGUUGGGGGUGAAAUCCCGAGGCUCAACCUCGGAACUGCCUUCAAAACUGGCGACCUGGACUCAAGCAGAGGCAAGUGGAAUUGCGAGUGUAGAGGUGAAAUUCGUAGAUAUUCGCAGGAACACCAGUGGCGAAGGCGACUUGCUGGGCUUGUAGUGACGCUGAGGCUCGAAAGCGUGGGGAGCGAAACAGGAUUAGAUACCCCUGUAGUCCCUGAGCGGGCUGGCAAGGCGCAU
rnacentral:rRNA from 1 species